rnacentral:rRNA from 1 species
CUGCAACAUUACAUUUACACGAUCAUGAAUCCUACCGACCGUGGUCCUUGCCGGUUAGGCUAACUACUUCUGGUAAAACCCGCUGCAUGGUGUGACGGGCGGUGUGGCGCAGGCCGGAGACGUAUUCACCACGACAUGCUGAUCCGCGAUUCAUAACCAGAAAUUCGGAAGCUUCACGCAGUCAGGUUUACCAGACUGCGAUCCGGUUGAUCGGGUUUCUCAGGAUUGGCUCCCCCUGCAGGUUGUGACCCUCAUCCGGUAUUGUAUGGCAAUGUGAGAAGCCCUGCACCGCAGGAGCCGCCGAAACGACGUCAUCCACCUUCCUCCGGUUUAUGCUGUUGAUCUCGUCAGAGUGCCCUAAAACGCUAUUCAUGUUUUUAAAGGAGUUGCGCUCGUUGCGGACUCCAGCAACAUCUCGGCGAGAGCUGGCUAACCAUAUGCAACACCUGUGUUCGGUUCUUCUUGCGCAGCACCCCAAAUCUCUUGGGAUUUGAACACUUUCUCAAAAGUGGUAAAGUUUUCGCGUUGCAUCGAUUAAUCCACAUCAUCACCCUUGUGCGAAGUCCCCGUCAAUUGUUUGAGUUUUAAUCUUGCGACCGUACUCCCCAGGCGGUUAAACUAACACAAUUAGCUGCGCUACAAGAGCGAAAGGCUAGCAAUAGUUGAUCGUUUGAAGGCGUGGACUACCAGAUAUCCUAAUCCUGUUUGCUCCCACGCUUUCGUGCGCCGAGCGUCGUGUGUGCCCAGCAUCCGGAAGCUGCAACUUCGCUGCAUCCGGUGUUCUCAUAUCCGCGUUUCCUGCUACCCACGCCGGAAUUCCACCUCCCUCUGACACACUCUAGCUCAGUUAAAAAUGCGGUUCCAAGUUAGCUCUGCGGUUUCACCAUCUUUCUUUCCGAACCGCCUGCGCACGCUUUACGCCCAGUAUUCCCGUUAACGCUUGCACCCUACGUAUUACCGCGGCUGCUACAGCACGACAAUUGUGGUGCUUAUUCUGCAGGUAUAGCGUCAGUUGCACGGUAUUAUCCGUGCCGUUUCUUUCCUGCCAAGAAGUGCUUUUACAACUUGAGGCCUUCAUCGCACACGCAGGAUGGCUGGAUGAGGUUCCCCAUUGUCCCAAAAAUUCCCCCUGCUGCUCCGUAGGAGUCACGGGCCGUGUCUCAGUCCCAGUGGCGCGAUCGUCCUCUCAAACCAGCUACGGAUCGUCAUUGGUGAGCCGUUACCCCACCAACUAGCUAAUCCGAUAAUAAUGCUCUAAUAAUUAAGAGGCCCCGAAGGUCCCCGCUGCGAAGGCGUAUGCGUUAACCCGCUUUCGCUAGUUAUCCCGCUACUAGGCGUUCCGAUACAUUACUACCCGUUCGCCACUCGCUGAAUGAAGUCCGUGCUGCCGUUCGACACAUGUAUAAAGCAUCCCGCCAGCGUUCAAUCUGAGCCAUGAUCCAAACU